CUGCACCUUCACCAGGGCGCUCAGGCAUCGCUGCAGACGACUACAGCCGGCAGGACCCCGGGCGUGGCUAUAAAUAGCGGGGCCGCCGCCGCUUGUUCUCUUUGGACGCCCGCCUGCGGUAGAGUGUGGUUGCUUCUGCUGGUCGUUGCUGUCCUCUGCGGGAUCCGCAGUCUCCCGGACAGAGGUGUGCGAUCUCUCCAGCCUGUGCUCAGCCCGCUCAUCCUCCCCGGAGAGUUCCAGCGUCAUGAAGGGAUUUGAAGACGUCCCCCGGCCCGUGAGCCUUGAAAAUAGAAGGAGCUCUGAAGCCAUGGGGCCAGUGUCCCCUCACUUGGAUUCUGCGCUCACCUGAGGACGGAAAGCUGAGGCGGCUCUUCCUGCCCAUCCACCUGCAUUGUCAAGAGGCAAGGCAGCCCUUCCUGCCUCUGUGGAUUUUCAGCUAAAGGAUAAUUUCUAUCCCAAGUUGGGCAGACCCUGAGAUCUUGGAUUGUCAGCAGCUGUCGACUUACUAGGCCAAAAAAGGCCUGAAACCAGCACAGGUGGAUAGCAUUAGCUGGGGUGUGGCUAGAAUCCUGUACUGUAGAUUGCCUUGUACCUCCUUUUAUAAAAAAUCUCAAUAAAAUACUUAAAGCAGAAAA